CUCAUCUCCAUCUCCAUCUUUUUCUUGUUUUGUUUUUUUUUCCAAUCUAAGUUUAAAAACAUUUGCUCUCCAUCGACAUCCAUCACCUUCUUCUUCUUCUUCUUCUUCUUCUUCUUCUUCUUCUUCUUCAAAGAAUCGAUUUCUUCAUCUCGAUCCAGAUCCAGAAGGUGAAACAAAAAUCAAUACCCUCAAGCUAAUAACCGAUGUCAUCGGUAAUCUGUGUUUUCAAUGAUGAAAUACUUCUUAUGAUUCAUUGGGGUUUGAUGAUAAAGAGGUACAUAGAGAUAUGAAACUCUUACCAUACAAGAUUGUCAACAAGGAAGGAAAGCCAUAUGUUGAGGUUAAACUUAAGGAUGGGGAGACUAAGGUUUUCAGUCCUGAGGAAAUUAGUGUUAUGAUUCUGACCAAGAUGAAGGAAACCGCUGAAGCAUUCUUAGAAUGCUGUCAUUACUGCUCCUGGAAUGAUUAAGAACCAAAUCAAAUUAAUUCAUGUUUGAUUCCACAAUUUAUUAUGUGGAUUUGGAAGAAUUUGAAAUUUUUUAUGUGGAUUUUUUAAAUGUAGCUGAAUCGUUGUCGUGUUCUUUGUUCUACAACAUACUUUAAUGAUGCUUACUACCAAGGAUGCCGAUGUGAUUGCUGGAUUAAAUGUAGCAAGAAUCAUCAACGAGCCAGCCGCAGCAGCUAUGGCUUAUGGUUUGUACAAAAAAAACGGAGAAAAGAACAUCCUUGUUUUUGAUCUUGGUGGUGGUACAUUAGAUGUCAGUAUCUUGACUAUUGAUAAUGGAGUUUUUGAGAUGUAGAGGAAUAAAUGAUUCUGGUUUUGGAGAAGUGAUGAUGAUGAAAAUGGAGGAACAAAUGGUUCUGGUUUUGGAGAAUUGAUGAUGAAGAAAAUGAAGGUGGUCACCACGACGAUGAUAAUAAUGAUUCGUUCUCUUUGUUCUGUGAUAUAUACUAAUAUUAUAGGUUGGGAUAACGUAGUUGAUGUAGAACCAGGGAGAAGAGAGUUUGAAUCUUUCCAUCUAGAGACGCAAUACUUCCAUGAUCAUGCAACUUUCACAGUAGUUGUUGGCCUGAACCAGCAGUGCGAGCAAGUGAAUGCUCCUGAUCCAAUUAUCGACACUUGCAGUGACUUUUACAAAUUCUGGCAGGCAACCCAUGAUUUGCACGAGGCCAUAAAUCUCUGUUAUGCAGCAUCGAUAGCAACUAAUCCUAUGGAAGAUAAUCUUGGUGAUAACUUAGAGUUUCUGUGCUUAUGGAAUGUUAUGACGUACUGAGAUUCUCCAUGGAAAGUGGUGCCAAGGGUUGCAAGGUUCUGUUCAUGUCCUGGUUACUUUGGGGAUUAUACCAUUGUGAGAGGCAUGGUAGUCUCAAUGGUAGAGAAGUGUCUUAGGGCUGUGGUAACAGGCAAGAGGGUUGAAGAAGCAUUUGAAGAGGAUCAAUGCGCUUAAGCAUUGCAUGCUUGGCAAGCUUGGUGGUGCCUUUAUAAGUCCUGCUGGAAUCCUCCGUUGUGCUCAAGGAUGUGUUUUGCUUGACAGAGACGGGGUUCGCAGAAAAGAAAAGCUACACAUUUAUUACAAUUUAUUCUCAAACUCAAAGAAGUAGCUGAAGAUAUUUAGAAGGUUGUUGCUGCCUAUGACCGCAAAAUUGCUUAUGGUGUGCUCAGCCAUCAGCUGAAGCAGUUUGUGGUAGAUGAGAACAAGGUUGUACUCAUUAUUCCAGGUCCCGAUACCAGAUUCAAUGAUGCUGAAUUUCAAGAAAUAUAGCUAGCUUGGACAUGUGUUGUUCUGAACUAAGAAUUUCAUUCUUAUGUGUAAUUUAAACCCAAUGAAUGAAAGAAUGGAAGUUGAAUUCUCAAUUGGAGUUUAAAUUUGAGUUAAAUUUGAAUUUCAGUUUGA